GUGAUAUAUUUUGUGUGAAAAACUGGAAAACAAAGUGCAUACCUGCAUAACCUCACUUAUCGCAGUUUUGCACAUUUUGAUGAUGGGAAUUGCGGUUCAAGUAAUUAUGAGUUAUAGAUGGAGCUCACUGUUUACUUCAAACUGAAGCCUUUUGGGUCCACUUUUUUCGUUGUUAUUUCCUGGUAGCGACUCUUGUUUCAAGCAGAAUGGGUGUAAAGUUAAAAAUAAUCCCAUAAAAUUGUUAAUAUAACUCCGUUGCACUGGCAUGGGGUAUUUGAAAACUUACGUUUAACAAAUACGUCACAAAGUCUCAUCCAUCGUCGAAAAACAUAAUAAGGGCUUUAUAACAACAAGCGCUUUCUGAUUUUACUGUGGACGUGUGGAAGAAUAGUGUGAAAUAUUGCGAAAAACCAACUUUUACUCUUGUUUAAAUUUUUGUACGUCUCUAUCUGAGAGUAGUCGUCUUUUACAAAAAAUAUAGCCUACUAAUAAAGGAAAUUAAAGUGUUUUUAUUUCUGGGUUGCCCCCAAUUCCACUUCGCCCUUGCCUGAUAAUCAAGACACUGAUAAUGAAAUUGGUGUAAGUGCAUCGAAUACAAACGUGUUGAAUAGAUGAAUAAAAGAGAGACAACUGCUUUUUUCAAAAAGGCCAUUUCAAAUUUAUUCAAAAAGCACACCCCCAUUGAAAAGGGUCCAUUCACGAUGAAGUUUGGCUUCCUGCAUGACAUAGGUCUCGGGCACCAAUCUCACUGUAAAUGGUCUAAAUUGGUCUUGCAUCUCUAAGACAUGGACUCACUGAGAGCGACUUCUGCAGUAGGCUUGAGACCUGCCUGCCUGUCUCGCAACAAUCUCUGCAUUAUGAUUCCAAAUUAUUUUAUAAAAUGCUGUCAAUUACAAGCCAUGAUAUGAGGCAUGAGGCCGUCUCAGUGUAUGUCUUGUGGUGUACAUUAAAACUGUUUCUUAAAGAACCCAUUCACAAUGAGAUCUGCUUCGCUACAUGCGGCGCGACAGGACUCAAAGACUAAUCCCAAAAGACACAAAAAAACUGACAGUUUCAUCAUUUUAAGCCAUUGACAGCGUUUUCGAAUGUUGGUGCAAAGACUUGUCGCGAGGCAGGUUUCAGCCUUCCGCCAACGUCAGUCUCAGUGAAACCCUCUCAAAGUGAUCUCAGCGAAAACCAUUCACAAUGAGAUUGGUCUAUGAGGCCUAUGUCGUGCCGCAUGCAGCGAGAUAUGUCUCAUUGUUAAUGAAAAUAGGGCCUUUUUUGUUGUUUAAAGUCGUUUUUUAAAACUUUUGUGGCAAAUUUUACUGAUGUGGCAGAGAGGGGGCAUGCAAUUGGAACAUGACGAUGACUACCCUAAAAGGCACUUCGAGAGUUUUAUGGCCUUUUUAAUGCAAAUUUCAACUUUAAACCUGACAGUCAUACCAAGGUCAAACAUAACCUCAACAGUACUCCAGCAACGGUACUUCAAAGCAUUUGAAAGUUUCUCCAUUUGUUUUUAAGUGUUCUAGUUGGUACAUUUUGCUGUACUUUACUACAAUAAAGAAAUAUUUAAAUUUU